rnacentral:rRNA from 1 species
GGGUUGUGAGGUUAAGCGACUAAGCGUACACGGUGGAUGCCCUGGCAGUCAGAGGCGAUGAAGGACGUGCUAAUCUGCGAUAAGCGUCGGUAAGGUGAUAUGAACCGUUAUAACCGGCGAUUUCCGAAUGGGGAAACCCAGUGUGUUUCGACACACUAUCAUUAACUGAAUCCAUAGGUUAAUGAGGCGAACCGGGGGAACUGAAACAUCUAAGUACCCCGAGGAAAAGAAAUCAACCGAGAUUCCCCCAGUAGCGGCGAGCGAACGGGGAGCAGCCCAGAGCCUGAAUCAGUAUGUGUGUUAGUGGAAGCGUCUGGAAAGGCGCGCGAUACAGGGUGACAGCCCCGUACACAAAAAUGCACAUGCUGUGAGCUCGAUGAGUAGGGCGGGACACGUGGUAUCCUGUCUGAAUAUGGGGGGACCAUCCUCCAAGGCUAAAUACUCCUGACUGACCGAUAGUGAACCAGUACCGUGAGGGAAAGGCGAAAAGAACCCCGGCGAGGGGAGUGAAAAAGAACCUGAAACCGUGUACGUACAAGCAGUGGGAGCACGCUUAGGCGUGUGACUGCGUACCUUUUGUAUAAUGGGUCAGCGACUUAUAUUCUGUAGCAAGGUUAACCGAAUAGGGGAGCCGAAGGGAAACCGAGUCUUAACUGGGCGUUAAGUUGCAGGGUAUAGACCCGAAACCCGGUGAUCUAGCCAUGGGCAGGUUGAAGGUUGGGUAACACUAACUGGAGGACCGAACCGACUAAUGUUGAAAAAUUAGCGGAUGACUUGUGGCUGGGGGUGAAAGGCCAAUCAAACCGGGAGAUAGCUGGUUCUCCCCGAAAGCUAUUUAGGUAGCGCCUCGUGAAUUCAUCUCCGGGGGUAGAGCACUGUUUCGGCAAGGGGGUCAUCCCGACUUACCAACCCGAUGCAAACUGCGAAUACCGGAGAAUGUUAUCACGGGAGACACACGGCGGGUGCUAACGUCCGUCGUGAAGAGGGAAACAACCCAGACCGCCAGCUAAGGUCCCAAAGUCAUGGUUAAGUGGGAAACGAUGUGGGAAGGCCCAGACAGCCAGGAUGUUGGCUUAGAAGCAGCCAUCAUUUAAAGAAAGCGUAAUAGCUCACUGGUCGAGUCGGCCUGCGCGGAAGAUGUAACGGGGCUAAACCAUGCACCGAAGCUGCGGCAGCGACGCUGAUGCGUUGUUGGGUAGGGGAGCGUUCUGUAAGCCUGUGAAGGUGUGCUGUGAGGCAUGCUGGAGGUAUCAGAAGUGCGAAUGCUGACAUAAGUAACGAUAAAGCGGGUGAAAAGCCCGCUCGCCGGAAGACCAAGGGUUCCUGUCCAACGUUAAUCGGGGCAGGGUGAGUCGACCCCUAAGGCGAGGCCGAAAGGCGUAGUCGAUGGGAAACAGGUUAAUAUUCCUGUACUUGGUGUUACUGCGAAGGGGGGACGGAGAAGGCUAUGUUGGCCGGGCGACGGUUGUCCCGGUUUAAGCGUGUAGGCUGGUUUUCCAGGCAAAUCCGGAAAAUCAAGGCUGAGGCGUGAUGACGAGGCACUACGGUGCUGAAGCAACAAAUGCCCUGCUUCCAGGAAAAGCCUCUAAGCAUCAGGUAACAUCAAAUCGUACCCCAAACCGACACAGGUGGUCAGGUAGAGAAUACCAAGGCGCUUGAGAGAACUCGGGUGAAGGAACUAGGCAAAAUGGUGCCGUAACUUCGGGAGAAGGCACGCUGAUAUGUAGGUGAAGUCCCUCGCGGAUGGAGCUGAAAUCAGUCGAAGAUACCAGCUGGCUGCAACUGUUUAUUAAAAACACAGCACUGUGCAAACACGAAAGUGGACGUAUACGGUGUGACGCCUGCCCGGUGCCGGAAGGUUAAUUGAUGGGGUUAGCGCAAGCGAAGCUCUUGAUCGAAGCCCCGGUAAACGGCGGCCGUAACUAUAACGGUCCUAAGGUAGCGAAAUUCCUUGUCGGGUAAGUUCCGACCUGCACGAAUGGCGUAAUGAUGGCCAGGCUGUCUCCACCCGAGACUCAGUGAAAUUGAACUCGCUGUGAAGAUGCAGUGUACCCGCGGCAAGACGGAAAGACCCCGUGAACCUUUACUAUAGCUUGACACUGAACAUUGAGCCUUGAUGUGUAGGAUAGGUGGGAGGCUUUGAAGUGUGGACGCCAGUCUGCAUGGAGCCGACCUUGAAAUACCACCCUUUAAUGUUUGAUGUUCUAACGUUGACCCGUAAUCCGGGUUGCGGACAGUGUCUGGUGGGUAGUUUGACUGGGGCGGUCUCCUCCUAAAGAGUAACGGAGGAGCACGAAGGUUGGCUAAUCCUGGUCGGACAUCAGGAGGUUAGUGCAAUGGCAUAAGCCAGCUUGACUGCGAGCGUGACGGCGCGAGCAGGUGCGAAAGCAGGUCAUAGUGAUCCGGUGGUUCUGAAUGGAAGGGCCAUCGCUCAACGGAUAAAAGGUACUCCGGGGAUAACAGGCUGAUACCGCCCAAGAGUUCAUAUCGACGGCGGUGUUUGGCACCUCGAUGUCGGCUCAUCACAUCCUGGGGCUGAAGUAGGUCCCAAGGGUAUGGCUGUUCGCCAUUUAAAGUGGUACGCGAGCUGGGUUUAGAACGUCGUGAGACAGUUCGGUCCCUAUCUGCCGUGGGCGCUGGAGAACUGAGGGGGGCUGCUCCUAGUACGAGAGGACCGGAGUGGACGCAUCACUGGUGUUCGGGUUGUCAUGCCAAUGGCACUGCCCGGUAGCUAAAUGCGGAAGAGAUAAGUGCUGAAAGCAUCUAAGCACGAAACUUGCCCCGAGAUGAGUUCUCCCUGAC